rnacentral:rRNA from 1 species
GAUGAACGCUAGCUACAGGCUUAACACAUGCAAGUCGAGGGGUAACGAGAGGAAAGCUUGCUUUCCUUGUCGACGACCGGCGCACGGGUGAGUAACGCGUAUGCAACCUACCUCAUACAGGGGGAUAGCCCGGAGAAAUCUGGAUUAAUACCCCAUAGUACAUAUAGAGGGCAUCUGAAAUAUGUUAAAGAUUCAUCGGUAUGAGAUGGGCAUGCGUCUGAUUAGCUAGUUGGCGGUGUAACGGACCACCAAGGCGACGAGCAGUAGGGGUUGUGAGAGGAAGGUCCCCCACACUGGCACUGAGAUACGGGCCAGACUCCUACGGGAGGCAGCAGUAGGGAAUACUGGGCAAUGGUCGGAAGACUGACCCAGCCAUGCCGCGUGCAGGAAGAAGGCCCUCUGGGUUGUAAACUGCUUUUAUCUGGGAAGAAAAGGCCCGUGCGCGGGACAUUGCCGGUACCAGAUGAAUAAGCACCGGCUAACUCCGUGCCAGCAGCCGCCGUAAUAC